GGACUACCGGGGUAUCUAAUCCCGUUUGCUCCCCUGGCUUUCGCGCCUCAGCGUCAGUAGAAGUCCAGCGCGCCGCUUUCGCCACCGGUGUUCCUUCCGAUAUCUACGCAUUUCACCGCUCCACCGGAAGUUCCGCACGCCCCUACUUCCCUCCAGACAUGCAGUAUCAAAGGCGCUUCCACGGUUGAGCCGUGGGCUUUCACCCCUGACUGGCAUGCCCGCCUACGCGCCCUUUAAGCCCAGUGAUUCCGAACAACGUUCGCACGGUUCGUCUUACCGCGGCUGCUGGCAC
rnacentral:rRNA from 1 species